rnacentral:rRNA from 1 species
UACGUAGGGUGCAAGCGUUGUCCGGAAUUAUUGGGCGUAAAGAGCUCGUAGGCGGUCUGUCGCGUCGGCUGUGAAAACCCGGGGCUCAACCCCGGGCCUGCAGUCGAUACGGGCAGACUAGAGUGUGGUAGGGGAGACUGGAAUUCCCGGUGUAGCGGUGAAAUGCGCAGAUAUCGGGAGGAACACCGGUGGCGAAGGCGGUUCUCUGGGCCUUACCUGACGCUGAGGAGCGAAAGCGUGGGGAGCGAACAGG